rnacentral:rRNA from 1 species
UACGGCUGCUCAGUAACACGUAGUCAACUUACCCUAUGGACGAGGAUAAUCUCGGGAAACUGAGCAUAAUACUCGAUAGAUCAUAAUGCCUGGAAUGGUUUAUGGUUGAAAUGAUUCAUCGCCAUAGGAUGGGACUGCGGCCUAUCAGCUUGUUGGUGAGGUAAUGGCCCACCAAGGCGAUUACAGGUACGGGCUCUGAGAGGAGAAGCCCGGAGAUGGGUACUGAGACAAGGACCCAGGCCCUAUGGGGCGCAGCAGGCGAGGAAACUUUGCAAUGUGCAAAAGCACGACAAGGUUAAUCCGAGUGAUUUCUGCUAAAGAAAUCUUUUGCAAGUCAUAAAACCACUAGUGAAUAAGGGGUGGGCAAGUUCUGGUGUCAGCCGCCGCGGUAAAACCAGCACCUCAAGUGGUCAGGAGGAUUAUUGGGCCUAAAGCAUCCGUAGCCGGCUCUGUAAGUUUUCGGUUAAAUCCAUGUGCUCAACGCAUGGGCUGCCGAAAAUACUGCAUAGCUAGGGAGUGGGAGAGGUAGACGGUACUCGGUAGGAAGGGGUAAAAUCCUUUGAUCUAUCGAUGACCACCUGUGGCGAAGGCGGUCUACCAGAACACGUUCGACGGUGAGGGAUGAAAGCUGGGGGAGCAAACCGGAUUAGAUACCCGGGUAGUCCCAGCUGUAAACGAUGCAGACUCGAUGAUGCAUUGGCAUAUAGCCAGUGCAGUGUCGCAGGGAAGCCGUUAAGUCUGCCGCCUGGGAAGUACGUACGCAAGUAUGAAACUUAAAGGAAUUGGCGGGGGAGCAG